rnacentral:rRNA from 1 species
GAACGAUGAAACCCUUCGGGGUGGAUUUUCCGGCGAACGGGAGAGUAACACGUGGGCAAUCUCGCCCUUCACUCUGGGACAAGCCCUGGAAACGGGGUCUAAUCACCGGAUACCACUCCUGCCUGCAUGGGCGGGGGUUGAAAGCUCCGGCGUGAANGAUGAGCCCGCGGCCUAUCAGCUUGUUGGUGGGGUAAUGGCCCACCAAGGCGACGACGGGUAGCCGGCCUGAGAGGGCGACCGGCCACACUGGGACUGAGACACGGCCCANACUCCUACGGGAGGCAGCAGUUGGGGAAUAUUGCACAAUGGGCGAAAGCCUGAUGCAGCGACGCCGCGUGAGGGAUGACGGCCUUCGGGUUGUAAACCUCUUUCAGCAGGGAAGAAGCGAAAGUGAUGGUACCUGCAGAAGAAGCGCCGGCUAACUACGUGCCAGCAGCCGCGGUAAUACGUAGGGCGCAAGCGUUGUCCCGGAAUUAUUGGUGNNUAAAGAGCUCGUAAGCGGCUUGUCACGUCGCGAUGUGAAAGCCCGAGGCUUAACCUCGGGUCUGCAUUCGAUACGGGCUAGCUAGAGUGUGGUAGGGGAGAUCCGGAAUUCCUUGGUGUAGCGGUUGAAAUGCGCAGAUAUCAAGAAGAACA